GUGCUUGCUUCAGCAGCACAUAUACUAAAAUUGGAACAAUACAAAGAUUAGCAUGGCCCCUG
rnacentral:snRNA from 1 species